AGUCAUACCGACUCAUAUGGUCCGGCCUCUUGGUUUCUAUGGCGUAUAUAUUCCCCACCUGGACGGGACGCCGGUCCGUCGAAGAAUAAUUGAUUUUUCUCAGCUGAGUGGACUGGAGGAACGUGAAAUGAAGAAUUUUCCUCAAAAAACACAACGUGCUGUCCAGGAAUCGAAACCACAAUUUUACGAUCACGAGUCCAACAACCUAAACACUAAACCGCACGCAUCCACAUGUACAGAUGCGGGUUCAGUUUGACGGAGAUCAUCAAUGCCUAGAGUUUAUGUAGAUUAUGCUCAUGUCUCCUUUAACGCCGAAAUACUUCUCCGGACUUAGCAGGGAUUUAUGAAUCUAGAAUUUAGAUUCUAGAUAUACACGAAAGAUGGUGAUGCUGGUCAUCGAGAAUAGAAUGUUCCAGUUACCCCGUCUCCAAAGUCUCUUCGCGUCAAAUAUUUUAGUUCGUUUGCUGCAUCUACCCUUCGUGAAGCUCUUCAAAUUGUCCAAGAUCAUAAUACGAAGCAGUAAACCGAGUAGAUGAAACAGAGACAAUAUGCGACUUCGCUGGAACAGUCCUUCCCGGAAAGCAAAUUAAAUAAAAUUUGGGAUUUUUUGCGGAGGGUGAAAGUGUUAACGAGAACAGGACAGUGAGAACAAGACAAUAAAAACAAACGGUGAGAGCUGUUGAGCCAAGACGAUAGAAAAAUUAUUAUGAACGCUCGGUAGACGAGCCAUGAGAGGAGAUAGGAAAAGGCACGUCUUUUCUUUAGGAAGGAAGUGGACAGAAAUAGAGAUCCCCUUUCGUCACGUGUCAGCGACGAGAGAAUCAAGGAGGAGGAGUGAGAGAGAGAGAGAGGGAACGGUAAAAGGGAGAGAAGAAUAGGGAAAAGGUGAGAGAGAAAAACAGAAAGGAUGAAGAACAAGAGAGGGAGAGAGAUAGGCAAGUCAGUUUGAUUAUGUGUGCAUGAGUCUAUCUGUGUAUGUGUAUAUGUGCGUGUCUAUAUGUGUAUAUGCAGACGAGCAUAUAUGUGUGCAUGUGUGUGUAUUUAUUUAUCAUCUCUCUUUC